rnacentral:other from 1 species
AAUUGUCUGAAAGGUACGAUAAAUACGCCGGUUAUAAAACCCACUAAUUAUAACGAUAUGGGAGUAUAAAUGGUAAUUUGUGUUGAAUAUCUACUUUUAGUAGAAAUCCUAAUAAUUACACUAAUACACCCACCUGUACAUAUGCAGGUUUUAUCGUUGGCGUACGUCUUUUCGGACUUUUA